GUCGAACGAAUCCCUGGGGGCAACUCUGGGGGGAAGUGGCGAAAGGGGCAGUAAGGCGUGGGUAACCUACCCCGGGGACGGGCAUAGCCCUCCUAACGGAGGGGUAAUUCCUGGCGAGGUGACGGGGUCGCAUGGUCCUGUCAUGAAAUGAAUUUCGCCUCGGGAGGGGCUCACGUGGUAUUAGCUGGUUGGUGAGGUAACGGCUCACCAAGGCCGAGAUGCCUAGCGGGUGUGAGAGCACGACCCGCGCCACUGGCACUGAGACACUGGCCAGACUCCUACGGGAGGCUGCAGUCGAGGAUCUUCGGCAAUGGGCGCAAGCCUGACCGAGCGACGCCGCGUGUGCGAUGAAGGCCUUCGGGUUGUAAAGCACUGUCGAGGGGGAGGAAGCCCGCAAGGGUUGACCUAUCCCUGGAGGAAGCACGGGCUAAGUUCGUGCCAGCAGCCGCGGUAAGACGAACCGCGCGAACGUUGUUCGGAUUCACUGGGCUUAAAGGGCGCGUAGGCGGUCGACCAAGUCUGGGGUGAAAUCUUUCGGCUCAACCGGAAAAGUGCCCCCGAUACUGGCCGGCUAGAGGGAGAUAGGGGCAUGCGGAACUUCCGGUGGAGCGGUGAAAUGCGUAGAUAUCGGAAGGAACGCCGGUGGCGAAAGCGGCGUGCUGGAUCUCUUCUGACGCUGAGGCGCGAAAGCCAGGGGAGCAAACGGGAUUAGAUACCCCGGUAGUCCUGGCCCUAAACGAUGGGUACUGGGUAGUGGACUUGACAUGGGUUCACUGCCGCA
rnacentral:rRNA from 1 species